rnacentral:rRNA from 1 species
UACGGAGGGAGCUAGCGUUGUUCGGAUAUACUGGGCGUAAAGCGCACGUAGGCGGCGCAGCAAGUCAGGGGUGAAAUCCCGGAGCUCAACUCCGGAACUGCCUUUGAAACUGCAGUGCUAGAAUCCUGGAGAGGCGAGUGGAAUUCCGAGUGUAGAGGUGAAAUUCGUAGAUAUUCGGAAGAACACCAGUGGCGAAGGCGACUCGCUGGACAGGUAUUGACGCUGAGGCGCGAAAGCUAGGGGAGCAAACAGG